GGAGAUGUAGCUCAGUGGAAGGGUGUUUACCUAACAUGUGUGAGGCCCUGGGUUCAAUUCCCAGCACCA
rnacentral:tRNA from 1 species